GAUGAACGCUGGCGGCGUGCCUAAUACAUGCAAGUCGAGCGAACAGACGAGGAGCUUGCUCCUCUGACGUUAGCGGCGAACGGGUGAGUAACACGUGGAUAACCUACCUAUAAGACUGGGAUAACUUCGGGAAACCGGAGCUAAUACCGGAUAAUAUAUUGAACCGCAUGGUUCAAUAGUGAAAGACGGUUUUGCUGUCACUUAUAGAUGGAUCCGCGCCGCAUUAGCUAGUUGGUAAGGUAACGGCUUACCAAGGCAACGAUGCGUAGCCGACCUGAGAGGGUGGUCGGCCACACGGGAACUGAGACACGGUCCAGACUCCUACGGGAGGCAGCAGUAGGGAAUCUUCCGCAAUGGGCGAAAGCCUGACGGAGCAACGCCGCGUGAGUGAUGAAGGUCUUCGGAUCGUAAAACUCUGUUAUUAGGGAAGAACAAAUGUGUAAGUAACUAUGCACGUCUUGACGGUACCUAAUCAGAAAGCCACGGCUAACUACGUG
rnacentral:rRNA from 1 species